rnacentral:lncRNA from 1 species
CAUAAUUAAGGUCACUACUACAAUAUAACAAAAUAAAAUGAGAAGGUGAAUCCCACCAAACCAGCUGUGUUAAUGACGUACCGUGAUUAGCUAGAGCAUCUGCAACCUUAUUCCCUUCACGAAAAAUAUGGGAAGAUCGAAAGGUCAUCUCCGAUAUGCAACGUAAACAAUUAAGCCAACGGACACGUAAAUGCCAAGGUACAAGCAAAGGAGACCGUAGAUAGUCUAACACAAGAGACGAGUCAACCUCGAACCAAACUUAAAAGCAUCUUUGAUACAGUAUAUAUAUAUAUAUAUAUAUAUAUAUAUAUAUAUAUAUGUUUCUGUAUUAAAGUGAGAUAAACCAAACUUAACGAAUUAUGUACUUUUUAUCAUACUUGUAGUCGGUAGUUGAGAACUACCUUCCCCGCCUAUAGACCAGUCAUGAAACUUGUAGACGGGCAUCCAGGCUACCUCGCCAUAAUGAAAUAUCAUCCGUGCCGCAUCGGGAAUGUGUUCCUCCAAGCUCUACAAGCGGACACCAUGAUAAUAGUUAUGUAUAGUUUGUCCCACAUUGGAAACAUGUAAAAGGAGGGAACCUUCCUUAGUUAUAAAAGGAAGGCUUCCCAUAUGUAGAAAUGAUCUAAAAAGGGACUGAAUCUCUCUCUCGAUCCCAAAGGCCUAUUGGCCAUGAUAGUAGAACCUUAAGUGGACGUAGCCAUGUUCUCCGAUGCCAUGGUGAACCACUAUAUGUCCUUGUCUCUUGCUCAUGAUUGUCUAUUGUUCGUAUUCCACCGUGAUUCUACAUAGUCCCCGGGAGUAUGCAGAAACAUUUGGCGAUGUCUGGGAAUCAUUACGAAAAGUCACGUUGCUCUGCCUCCGGGAGACAGUUUAUUCAAAUCCAUGAGAGCAAUAGGUCCAAUGGGAGGUGCACAAGCCCAGUAAAAGGCUAGCUAGUCAGCGGGCCAGCAGGUGCCCGACCAGGUCCAACAAUUAUCUGGCCCAAAUAUGUCAACGGGUCCAAUUAAGCAGAAACGUCCGGGAGUUGUGUUCUACCAAUUGCCAAUGCAUCGCUGAAGGUCCAGCAAUGCCAUCGCUCUCCACCCGCCUCCAGCCAUCGCUCGGGGAUGACAUCCGGGACCCGGAGUUUAGUUAUGCCGGUCGGGAACUUCGCCGGUGACAACCCACUCCUCCCGCUGCCCGCUCCGGAUUCGUUGAGCUCUUCAGGCGGUAGCUCGGGCAGGCACCGCCUAUCGGCCGGUAUGACGAUAAAAAGGACGAGCUAAGGGCACUCUUGUAGGGUCACCAUGAGGAUUGAUGAAGCAACCAGCCGACCAGUCGGGAUCACCUCCACCGCUUGAGUCCAGCCCGAUUAGUUCUCCCGGGCCAAGCUCAUCCAUCGCCGGUCGAGAGUGAUGCGUCGAGAGCCACCUGGUAGCGCCCGAGAUCCACCGACAACGUCGAUCAAUUGCCCGGCCGGGAUGGGCACUGCUGAAGCAGCUCGGUCUAGACACAUCUGGUCUCACCUGCAAAUUAACAUGGCACAUGGGUUCAACUCGGUCGAAUUCCUCUCCGGCUAAAGAGAGAAGAGGGAGUUGGUCUGAUCUUGGUGUUGAUCUGGACACCCAACGUCUACUCUGGGCACCCGCACUGAUAUGGGGAGAGCCUGGUAUAAACAGCAAGAAAGAUGAAUUCAAUAGCAUGGAUGUUCGGUUGAAAGUGAAAGAUAAGUCCGAGUGGAGAAGCCAUCAAAGGGGGACUAAGGUUCAAAAAGUGGUCUUGUAUCUGCAGACACCGGCACACGAAUAAAAAAGGGUGCCGCUAGAUGUACCUAUCAAAUUUCUAAGUAAACCCAGCAAGCUAUUUACACCCAGCAAAAUCAUAAAAUCUCUAAGUGCACCUAGCGACUUUUCAAAAAUGCCCUCCCUUUGUUAAAAGUUAAACCAGCAAAACUAAUCGAUUUCCUUCCUUUUUCUCUUUUAACACCUAACCAAAUCUGUCUCUUGUUUCCCUCGUUCAUUUUACUUCAGCCUUGUCUCCAUCUGUUGCUCCUUCUUCCAUCUUAAUUCGUCUUCUUCUUUAGUUGUCCGUCAUCACAUCAUCAUAGUUUCUGCAGAUGUUGCUCAGAUUGUGAUCGGUAUCAUAGGUAAUUAGGUAUGGUUAAGAGUAAUUUGGUAUGUAUUACAAUUGGAAUUAAUCUUGUAAGAUGGUUAACCAUUAAACCCACAUCUGAUAAAACCCAAAGCUCACUGAUACAAUCUACUUCAGGCUCACGCAUCCCUCGCCGCUGGCACGCCGAAAUCCAGACCCUAUCGAACUGGAUGGUCAGCCAAGUCCAGAGCUCAAACCAGAUGUUCUGAAAAAAUAAAACGUAAUACCCGAAAGGCAGAGAACUGAAAAUUUAGAUAGCAACAUAAUUGAUGAUGUGUUAUAUAUAAACACACAUUGUGUGUAUACUUAAUUUUGAUUAUGGGUUCUGGUUAAAGGUUUGCUCGGAUCAACAAUGUUUUCAAGUUGUACUGCUGGGUACAUUAGAAAAUACUGGGUUCAAGAGUGUCAUGGUUUGUUUUGUUAUUGUUUUAAUUAUCAUGACUGUUAUUGUCAUUUUACAUGAGGAUGAAAUUAUCUUUAUCUAUAAAAUUGUUUUGCUGGGUCUACUUAGAAGUUUGUUGGGUACAUCUAGCAGCACCUAUAAAAAAAAAAGAAGGAAAUUCUUUGCAGCAGUGAGAAGUCGGUAACCAUCGGGUCCCGGUGGCUUUCACAACAUAAGGGGAAAGAGAGUAGGCAAAAAAACAAAAAACAAAAAAAAGGAAGAAAGAAAGAACUAAAGGAGAGAGAAACCUAUACAACACGGGUAAGGCAACAUGAUUCUAUUCUACGGGAUUCUAACAUGAAGGUGUCCACACUAUUGAACCUCUUGAGUGCACCCAUUCAGCAGCUUACUACAAAGAUAAGUCCUUCGUUUUAUUAUCUUUUGUCGAAAGUUUAAAGCAUGUUUCACGUAUAAGUUUGUGGAAGUAUGCAUGCUCGUGAUGACACUAUGGUAUCUGAUAUGAGUUUAGGGAAGUAUGCAUGCAGGUUAUGGCAUCUUACUAUUAUAACACCAAUGCGGCACAUAUAUCUUUAUUUAUGUGUUAUUGGCAUUUGAUCGAGAGAUUGGCAUUUGACCGAGAGAUUGGCAUUCGACGUUCAGUAUUUGCACAAUUGCAUGAACCAUUGUGCUUUUUGAUAAUUAUUAUGCCAUAACAAAUACUCGGUUGGCCCCAUAUUGUGUUGAUCAAACUAUGCAAACGGCUAAUCGAUCAUUUGUUCAUUGUGAAGGAAACGUGAAAACACCUCGCCCAACCGAGUAAGUUUGGAAGCCGGGGGUCGGGAGGGACAUUUGUUCAUUGUGAAGGUACAACAAUCCUCGCCCGGCCGAGUAAGUUUUGAAGCCGGGAGUCAGGAGGGGCAUUUUUUUUUAUCUUGUUGCAGCGGACUUGAAGACUACGGUGAAUAUCAAGAAAAGCAAGACCCGUUCAACACACGUCCUGAGUACGGACUUGGGGGAUUGGGACUGGGACCGGGUAUCCGUUGAUAAAUGACUGGUCUAUGGGCAUUUUAUGUAUCAAGUCCCCACUCGAUCAAGACGUGUCUCGAACGGGAACUUGGGGGGACUUGUAGUCGGUAGUUGAGAACUACCUUCCCCGCCCAUAGACCAGUCAUGAAACUUGUAGACCGACAUCCAGGCUACCUUGCCAUGAUGAAAUAUCAUCCGUGUCAUAUCGGGAAGGUGUUCCUCCAAGCUCUACAAAAGGACAUCAUGAUAAUAGUUAUGUAUAGUUUGUCCCACAUUGGAAACAUGUAAAAGGAGGGAACCUUCCUUAGUUAUAAAAGGAAGGUUUCCCAUAUGUAGAAAUGAUCUAAAAAGGGACUGAAUCUCUCUCCCGAUCCCAAAGGCCUAUUGGCCAUGAUAGUAGAACCUUAAGUGGACGUAGUCAUGUCCUCCGAUGGCAUGGUGAACCACUAUAUGUCCUUUUCUUUUGCUCAUGACUGUCUAUUGUUCGUAUUCCACCGUGAUUCUACAUAGUCCCCGGGAUUAUGCAGAAACAAUACUUUUAUCAAAUAUUAAAUACUUUUCUCACCUUCUGAUUACUAUUCUCUGUUAGAUGAUCACCUUUUACUAUGUAUAAGAAAGAUUCAGCGAAAAUUAGAAGCCGUGGAAGCCGCCGCGACGCCGGCCACCCCAAGCUGGAGCUUUGUGACCAACAAGAAGUUCAUAGGCAGAUGAAGGCAUGUUCCGGCAAAAGGGGCGAGAGUGACGGUGUGGAUAAUGCCUUGGGCGCGAAGGUAAAUGCGGAUUGGGUGAAUGAGGGAGUUAGUGAAAAGGUCAGGCAGUGAGAACAUGAGAUAGGUGGUGAGCCAUUGAGGUAAUUUUCGGGACUCGGACAACAUACGUAAGAAUGUUCGAUAUGUUAAACCAAAGCGACGAAAUGGGGAGCAGGGAGCAAAGUAGGAGGAAGAGUACACAGCGGUGGAGCGUGACUGACAGAAGCUUUGGACGUCCAGCUCCGAAGGCUUGGGAACAAAGCGGCUCCAUACCUAAAGCUAGGCCGGAGAGUACGGAGUAGCCGGUGAUGUUUGCGUAUGCUAUGGCUAGUGGCCCAGCGGCAAGCUCUGAGUCGCCGAGGCGGCCGAGGAAGAGCAUGGAGAUAAUGGAGCGGGAGUAGCGGAUGAGGUCUGUGAUGACCAUGGGGAAGGCGAGGUUGAAGAGUGAUGUGGUCUCUUUAACUACGUCUGUGACGGCGAGUUGCGGUAGCUGCGGCUCGUUUCUUUCACCUCCUCCCAUCACGAUCAAGUGUUUUAUAGAGCACUGUAAAUGUAUUCUAAGCCUUCUAAAGAUAGACUGGUUUUCUUUGCCGUAGAUGGGAGGGAUAUAUAUGCCCAAGUAUUAAGAUUAAAUAGAGUAAAAAUUUUGAAAGUGUUGUAAAACAAAAGGAAUAGAUUGAGAAAGGAGAGAAACA